GGUGUGGCAGCAGCACUAACAUCGGGAUGGAGCUUUAGCUGUCUCCCACUCUCACUUCUGAGGGUUGGGCACGGCUCCACCUUGACAUGAAGGCUGGGCAUGUAACAUAAGCUAACAAAGCAGAGAAUUACACUCCUCUCAUUACGGAGGAUUGUUUCAGAGAAGGCACAAGACCUAGUUCAGCUAUGGAAAUCCUGGUCCAGUGGAUUUCAGAACUUUUAUAGGAAACACUGGGAAAAAGAAAUGAGGCUGCUCUGGGAGCUCACACUGGACUUAUGAGGGGAGGGAGCUUUCUUGCCCCCAUCUCACCACCCAGUGGGACCUGAGACUGAAGGUUUUACAUGGAAGACAACAGUGAGAAACUAGAGACAAUGAGAGACCUCAUUUUGGGUUUUAAUCAGUUGAUGAUAUUCAGAUGCUCAGAAUUUUUCCAGGUGAUGUUAGGGAUAAAAGUAUUGGACAUAUUCAAGUUCCUGAAGUGAUAAGAGG
rnacentral:lncRNA from 1 species